rnacentral:tRNA from 1 species
GGGGAUAUAGCUCAGCGGUACAGCACCUGCCUGGCAAACACAAGGCCCUGAGUUUGAUUCCUGUAACCCCG